GCCGGUAUGGCCAAGUGGUAAGGCGUCGCACUUGUACCUCAACAAAACCGGGCAAUGCGAAGAUCGCUGGUUCAAUUCCGGCUGCUGGCA
rnacentral:tRNA from 1 species